CCCUUAGAUGUCCUGGGCCGCACGCGCGCUACACUGAUGCAUGCAACGAGUUUAUAACCUUGGCCUGAAAGGUCUGGGUAAUCUUUUGAACGUGCAUCGUGAUAGGGAUAGAUUAUUGCAAUUGUUAAUCUUGAACGAGGAAUUCCUAGUAAACGCGAGUCAUCAGCUCGCAUUGAUUACGUCCCUGCCCUUUGUACACACCGCCCGUCGCACCUACCGAUUGAAUGGUCCGGUGAAGCCUCGGGAUUGUGGUUCUUGCCGCUUUAUUGUGGCGUGACCGCGAGAACUUGUCUAAACCUUAUCAUCUAGAGGAAGGUGAAGUCGUAACA
rnacentral:rRNA from 1 species